rfam:Photorhabdus luminescens subsp. laumondii TTO1 complete genome
UUACCACCAUCAUCAUCCUGAUUAGUCUUUCAGGCGGUUGUGUGCUGGAAGACGUUUAACGGGUCUUCCGGUGGCAUGAAUGCGAUAAAAACCCCCGGAAGGAUCCUUCCGGGGGUUUUUUUA